UCCCUGGUGGUCCAGUGGUAGGACUCAGCACUUACACUGCUGGGGGCCUGGGUUUGAUCCCUAGUCAGGGAA
rfam:TPA: Bos taurus chromosome 17, whole genome shotgun sequence.